UCACAACUGGUGGGAGGAAAGGAUGGAUGACUAGUAGUUAGUAAAGAAUGGCAAUUCAAAUGGGAAAACAAAUUGGACCUUUGACUUAGAAACCAAGAACAACAACAUAAUCAAACCCAAGCAAAACAUCCUGCUGGGUUAAAGACCUAAAUGGGAAAUAACUCCAGAAGAAAUUACAGGAAUGGGGAAGGAUUUCCCAAAUAAGACAAAAGCACAGAUUAUAGUAAGAGAUCUCUCUGUGAAAGGAGGGAACAUGGCAGGGGGAAGUGAGAGAAGAGGCAUACAACUACAGAUUGGGGAAAAAGUUCAUCUUGGUUCAACAACAGACUUAUUGAGAGCAGACGAAUGAAACUUUGUCCUACAAGGUACACAAUCAUUGGCCAGAAGAAAGCUGCUGAGCUCUCUUAGUACAGAGGAUGCUUUCUAGGUCUGUGAUACACACGGAAUAGAAAUAAAUACAGUACGGUGCUGAGUGCAUCUUUCAUGUAGCCUUGUGAAGUGAACAAUGUCACCAGGAAAGAGAAGGGCAGUAGUGUGUGAAGGACUUGGUACCUGUUACAUUAUCCUAAUGCCAAGCAACUGGUGAAACCAUCCCUGCUGAAGCAUGCAGUGUAGGCUUCUAAGUCAUGAAAGAACCAGCUUACAGCGCAUGACAGCUUCCUUGACUUGGUGAAAGCCACCAUCGGGUCCCCGGCCGUCCACGAAGUACAUGAACCGGAGCUCAGCAGGGUAGGCAGCUCUGGUGAGGCCUGACAUCAGGGGGAUGGUGCGGCCCUCUGCCCCAGGGGCCUCACUCAGGGCCUGUAGCAUCUGGUACUUGCACCAUGGGUCCUGCAGGAAGCCCGGGGUGAUGAGCAGUACGCGGCAGUGACUGCUGCUCAGUGCGUGGCACAGCUCUGACACGAUGGCGCCGCCUGGGGUCGAAUCCCGAAGCUGUAGGAAGCAGCGCAGGCUGGCCGCGCUGCCCUCCAGAGGCUUAUUCUGCCCAGAACUUCCAGCUAGUGCUGACUAACCAGCCAUCUGCUAGUCGGUUCAUUUUAAUUGUUGAGGGGGCAGCUGGGUAGCUCAGCGGUUGAGCAUCUGCCUUCGGCUCAGCUUGUGAUCCCGAGGUCCUGGGAUCGAGUCCUGCAUCGCGCUCCCUGCAUGGAGCCUGCUUCUCCCUCUGGCUGUCUCUGCC